rnacentral:rRNA from 1 species
GACGAACGCUGGCGGCGUGCUUAACACAUGCAAGUCGAACGGAAAGGCCCUGCUUUUGUGGGGUGCUCGAGUGGCGAACGGGUGAGUAACACGUGAGUAACCUGCCCUUGACUUUGGGAUAACUUCAGGAAACUGGGGCUAAUACCGGAUAGGAGCUCCUGCUGCAUGGUGGGGGUUGGAAAGUUUCGGCGGUUGGGGAUGGACUCGCGGCUUAUCAGCUUGUUGGUGGGGUAGUGGCUUACCAAGCCUUUGACGGGUAGCCGGCCUGAGAGGGUAACCGGCCACAUUGGGACUGAGAUACGGCCCAGACUCCUACGGGAGGCAGCAGUGGGGAAUAUUGCACAAUGGGCGGAAGCCUGAUGCAGCAACGCCGCGUGCGGGAUGACGGCCUUCGGGUUGUAAACCGCUUUCGCCUGUGACGAAGCGUGAGUGACGGUAAUGGGUAAAGAAGCACCGGCUAACUACGUG